UACGGAGGGAGCGAGCGUUGUUUGGAAUUACUGGGCGUAAAGCGCGUGUAGGCGGCCUCCUAAGUCUGGUGUGAAAGCCCGGGGCUUACCCCCGGAAGUGCACUGGAUACUGGGAGGCUUGAGUACCGGAGAGGAGGGUGGAAUUCCUGGUGAAGCGGUGAAAUGCGUAGAUAUCAGGAAGAACACCGGUGGCGAAGGCGGCCCUCUGGACGGAUACUGACGCUGAGUCGCGAAAGCGUGGGGAGCAAACAGG
rnacentral:rRNA from 1 species